rnacentral:lncRNA from 1 species
AAAGGCCAUUGAAACUCAAUGUGUCCUACAGCAAAGACCACUGCCCUCUGAUGAUGAAAACAAGAUGAAUGCCUCCCAUUUUGUUCCAAAUAACCUUUCAGUCUUAUGUUUGCCAGCCCUCCAAAUCCCCUUAUUCUGGAAGGAAGGUUAUCUCAGAUCCAAGUCCUAUGUGGGAAACAGUCUCUUUGGUUUGUAUAUAUAUAUGUGUGUAUGUAUGUGUGUAUUUGUUGGUAGGAAGUCAUGCAGCUGCUAUGGAAAACAGUAUGGAGGUUCCUCAAAAACUUAAAAAUAGAGCUACUGUGUGAUCCAUCAAUCCCAGUCCUGAAUGUUUAUCCAGACAAAU